AUCAUGAUACCCAUCUGCAGAGUGGUAUUCAAUCAUGAACCCAUCUGCAGAGUGGUAUUCAAUCAUGAUAUCCAUCUGCAGAGUGGUAUUCAAUCAUGAAACCCAUCUGCAGAGUGGUAUUCAAUCAUGAUACCCAUCUGCAGAGUGGUAUUCUAUCAUGUACCCAUCUGCAUAGUGGUAUUCAAUCAUGAUACCCAUCUGCAGAGUGGUAUUCUAUCAUGAUACACAUCUGCAUAGUGAUAUUCUUGGAUCACAAACCUAUAAAUAGGCAGCCAAGACACAUCAGAAACAUAUUUGGCAAGAUUACAUUUUAGGACAGAAAAUCAACCCUGUAAUAUCCUUUUCUGACAUUAAAUUGUAGUGUUGUGUAAUCACACAAAAGGAUAUAUCCCGUUAUCUAACCCAGAAACACGGAACAGAACAUCAAAUCAAUUGUUGUUGAUGUAACACAGCUUGGUUCACUUUCCAAGAUUAUUCAGGUUAAAAUAGGACAGCCUGUUCACAACCCUAUUGGUUUGGUGUGGGGGGUGGUUUCAGACUCUAAUCCACAGUCUAGAGUAUAGAUUAUGGCUGUAGGCAGGAAUCAUGUACUGGUGACAUCCUUAAGAAGCAGUGGGCUGAGAUGUCAUUUAUUUCAUCGCCCCCUGGCUCCACCCAUAUGUAGGAUGACAGAGCGUUUUGUGUUAGAGGGACUGUCACACAUUGUGACUCUCGUGAAGAAGAACAGAAACAGCACAGCAUGGCAGCCUUUGUCUCGUUGGCCACGUGUCACCACUGCAGCAUAUCUUCCAGACAUGGCCUUGUCUACAGGGAGUCCAUGGCAGCUCUAUCCAGGAACGUCAUGGCUCCCAGUUACACCAGGAGGCAUAGUUCACAGGCUAGAACCCUGCCACUGCGAGCUAGGGGAAGACUCAUCACCCAAAGGCCUGUCGGAGAGGCCAAGAAUCGGCCUAGAGCUCCAAGGUAAACAUCUUACUCUAUUACCUAGUAAUAUACAGAUGUUUGGAGUUAAUGGCACAUAUUUUGAAUUGUUGAAUGUAAUAGAACUCAUUUACAGUGUAUCUUUAAUAUCACCAUUUUUUGUCCGCCAUUAAAAUGGCAUCAAACCUUUAAACUCUCUCUUCACAGGCCCAAUCCUCCAGAGUUCAUUGCCAUAUCUUCCUCCAAGCUGGCCGGUGUGAAACAUUUUGUAUUUGUCCACCUAAGGAAGCUUUUUUCAUUGGGGGACACCCAGAGGCGCAGAAAGAGUGGCCUGAAACUUUUCUCCUGAAGUUUUGCAAAUAUAAUUUGAUGGUAAACAUCAAUGGGCUUGAUGAUCCACAAGGUGGCGCUCCAGUAAUUCAGUAGGAAGAAUCAGUGAUAGAGGAGUCAGCAGGAAGAUGCUCACUUGUCAAGGCUAAGACAUGCAGGUACUCAGACCUCCCUCACCUGAGAGAUUGAAAGAAUGGUGACUGCAGGCCUAUACCUUUGGCAGGAGUCUCUAUGGCGACCAGUAGCCAUGUGGGUGAGAUGGUUCUGGGUGGAAUGCAAGGCAAUAUUUUUGCAACACUUUUGAGCUUUCUACAUAUUUAUUGUUCUGAGGUAUGAUGUAAAAAAAAUCUGACAUACUAUUUCAUUUAGUCACAUGGUACAACACUUGUAUCAGUAUCAACUUUUAAUGUGAUUAGGUUUUUGAAAUAUAAUUGAAAGUCUGUAGAGUCAUAUGAUAUUGUUGCCUCCAGCUCAGGCCAAGAAGGAGCCAUUGCAUAUCCUGUUUAACAGUAAAUUGUAUUGGAUCAAGUGUGAGCUUAAUGACUGUAUUAUUAUUGUUGUCAAAUGUUUAAUGCAAUGUUAUAAACAUGUACAGCAGUAUAAUAUACUUGCUUGUUUAGAAAUAAUAUACAGAAACUAAUCUAAUAAAAGGCUUAAAUGCUAUUUGGGUAAAAAUACGUU
ensembl:lncRNA